rnacentral:misc_RNA from 1 species
AAGUCGUAACAAGGUCUCCGUUGGUGAACCAGCGGAGGGAUCAUUACCGAGUUUACACUCAUAACCCUUUGUGAACAUUAUAACUUGUUGCUUCGGCGGCUUCUUCGGGAGCCCGCCGGGGACAUCAAACUCUUGAUUGUUAUAGUGGCAUUCUCUGAGUAAAACCAUAAAUAAAUCAAAACUUUCAACAACGGAUCUCUUGGUUCUG